rnacentral:rRNA from 1 species
GACGAACGCUGGCGGCGUGCCUAAUACAUGCAAGUUGAGCGCUGAAGGUUGGUACUUGUACCGACUGGAUGAGCAGCGAACGGGUGAGUAACGCGUGGGGAAUCUGCCUUUGAGCGGGGGACAACAUUUGGAAACGAAUGCUAAUACCGCAUAAAAACUUUAAACACAAGUUUUAAGUUUGAAAGAUGCAAUUGCAUCACUCAAAGAUGAUCCCGCGUUGUAUUAGCUAGUUGGUGAGGUAAAGGCUCACCAAGGCGAUGAUACAUAGCCGACCUGAGAGGGUGAUCGGCCACAUUGGGGCUGAGACACGGCCCAAACUCCUACGGGAGGCAGCAGUAGGGAAUCUUCGGCAAUGGACGAAAGUCUGACCGAGCAACGCCGCGGGAGUGAAGAAGGUUGUCGGAUCGUAAAACUCUGUUGGUAGAGAAGAACGUUGGUGGGAGUGGAAAGCUCAUCAAGUGACGGUAACUACCCAGAAAGGGACGGCUAACUACGUG